UUUGGUGUGUCCAGUUUGGUGUUAUGAGAACGGAAUGCUCCAGAGAGAGGGGAGCAAAAGUCAAACUGUUAUAGCUGGGAACUGAGGAACCAGAGGAAAUGGAGACAGAGAGGGAAUAGCUUAUUUUAAUGACCAUGCUGCUUCUAGAAAUACGUAAAACAGGAUAAUCUCCAAUCCUUCUGCAAAUAUCCAGAAAUUCUGGACAAAAUACACCAAAGAUUCUUCUGAAUGACUGAGGAGCUUUGAGAAAACGAGAGGACAUUCUCUGGUUCUAGAAACAGAAGGAACUGAAAAUCAGACUGCUGACUGGUGUGGGAAAAGGGACGGCCUGGAUCCAGAUCUGGUAACACUGGACGACUACUGACCUCUUUGGGACUCAGUUUCCUCCUCUGUACAGUGAAGGGAAUGAAUGAGAGGACUUCCAAAAUCUGCCCCAGUUCUAAUAGCCCAUGAUUGAAGUGGAUGACCAGAUGUUCCACUUGAAGUUCUGCCUCCCAGGAUCAUUUCCUUCACCACUGCCUUUCAGGACCAUCCCUGAGUGUGAUGUAGUAAGGCAGGAGGUUCAUCAGCCAAGGAGCAUAAGACGGAGCACAUGGUAUACGCCUCGCUCACUGCGCCUCCCCGUCACAAGUUUAUCACUGUGUUUCGUGCCUCCAGAUGGAGCACACGCUCACCAGGAACUUCUAAAGUUCCAAAGAGCCAAAGGAUCCAAAAAGAAAGAUUUUUUAAAAAGAAGUAUUUUGCUCUGGUGGAUUGAAAAAUCGCUUUUAUCACAACCAUAAAUGAAGCAUGAUUCAGAAGGAAGGCAGUAUUGCUCCAGUUCUCUCAGGGCAGAAACACAAGCAGAGCUGAAGCAUGGAAGUCUCAUAACCAUCCUGAUCAAGGGGAACGCUUGACGAGAGACCCAUCAGUGUGGCUGCAGGAGGUCUCCUGUGUUAUGUCAUCUUCUGCUUUUUACACAAGGGUGCUGGAACAGGUGGUCAGGAGCUCAGAAACAUGCUCGUCUGACCUGGGGACCAACAAGACAGAAUUUGUGAUUCUGAACCCCCAAACACAGGCCAGGUUUGUGUGGUUCCCAGGGGCAGACUCUACCCCAGUCCUGACCGUCUUCCAGAAGCCACAGUCCAGGGCUGUGUGUAUGAGCACCACAGCACACAUUCAGGUGUCCCCUACUUUGAAGAAAUUGUGUUCCUUAACAUUUCCUUCCCUUCUGUUGACUGAUUUCCCUCCUCUAUCACCAGACGUUUAGAAAGACUGGUGCUGCUCGCACUGGCUAUGCUGUCUGGCCCCACAUUUUCUCUUCUUCUCAUUGCAAUCUACAUCCUUGCUCUCCUCCCCAAGUAAUCACCAAACUUCUCUUCCCGAGGUCUAUUGUGACUUCCUAAAUGCCAGAUCCUUGUCCUAUUUUCGGCCGUCCACCUGAAGGACAUCCCUGCUGUGUUGGACGUGGGACACCGUCUCCCCCUUGCAGCUUGCUCCUCCAAAGGCCUUGGUCCCUGGCUCCUCUCUCUUGGUCUGUCUGUCAUCCCAUGUCCUCAUCCUCCUGUUCCUCUCCCCAUUUCUUCUUGGUCCCUUUCGAUGACCCUCCUCUUUCCGCCCUGUGACUGUUGGCAUCCUAGAGGAUUAACCUUUUGGCAAUUCGUUCUUUUACUCCUUCCACCUGUCCCCAAAUUCAGAGCCAUCUUGUGCAUCCUACUUGGUGCCAGGCACUAAGCUAGUCAGGAAAUACAGAGAUGAAUGAGAUCCAAUCUUCAACCUCACUGUGCACCCUAAAGUCUAGAGGGAGCAACAGUGUGUACUGUGGUAUAGGUUUGGACCAGAAGAGGUGGGGGGAAAAUCAAUUCUGCGUGAUGGGAAGGAACAUGUAGUAUAAUACAGUGGAGUAUUUACCAUGUUGCCUAAUCGUUAGAAGUGAAGGUCUGUCAGGCCUAAGCCAGGGCUUUCCAGAAGAAAGUGUGUGUGUGUGUGUGUGUGUGUGUGUGUGUGUGUGAUGUUACAUGCAUGUGCGCCUGGAAGCCUCGAGCAGUUGAGGAGCUGUUCCACUCUAAGAAGGGGACCUUAUCUUACUCAGGAAGUGCUUCAAAUGUAACUUACUGGAAGAUUAGCUGGGGGAGGCUAGCUUUGCCCCAACUUGCAGAUGAGUCAGUAAUUAUUUGUAUUCCCCCUUUGAACUCUAUACUCCAAAUUAUUUUUGUGUUUCCAAGGGUGAUUUCAAAAAUACUUAGGACACCAACACAGAUCAAUCUGGAUGAGUGACUGAGCAUGAUUCCAGAAGUGCUUUUUUGUGCCAUAAGGGAAA